rnacentral:rRNA from 1 species
AAGGAUGGGCAUGCGUGACAUUAGCUUGUUGGUGAGGUAACGGCUCACCAAGGCUGCGAUGUCUAGGGGGUCUAAAAGGAUGAUCCCCCACACUGGUACUGAGACACGGACCAGACUUCUACGGAAGGCAGCAGUGAGGAAUAUUGGGCAAUGGGCGCAAGCCUGACCCAGCCAUGCCGCGUGCAGGAUGACAGCCCUACGGGUCGUAAACUGCUUUUCUGCGGGAAGAAUCUCUCGAUCGUGAUCGGGACUGACUGUACCGCAGGAAUAAGGAUCGGCUAACUCCGUGCCAGCAGCCGCGGUAAUACGGAGGAUCCAAGCGUUAUCCGGAUUUAUUAGGUUUAAAGGGUGCGUAGGCGGGAUAGUAAGUCAGUGGUGAAAGCCUGCGGCUUAACCGUAGAAUUGCCAUUGAUACUACUAUUCUUGAGUACAGUUGAGGUGGGCGGAAUGUGUUAUGUAGCGGUGAAAUGCAUAGAUAUGACACAGAACACCGAUUGCGAAGGCAGCUCACUAAGCUGAUACUGACGCUGAGGCACGAAAGCGUGGGGAGCAAACAGGAUUAGAUACCCUGGUAGUCCACGCCGUAAACGAUGAUCACUAGCUGUAGGCGAUAUACAGUCUGCGGCUGAGCAAAAGUAUUAAGUGAUCCACCUGGGGAGUACGUCAGCAAUGAUGAAACUCAAAGGAAUUGACGGGGGCCCGCACAAGCGGAGGAACAUGUGGUUUAAUUCGAUGAUACGCGAGGAACCUUACCUGGGCUUAAAUGCUUUCUGAUCGUUUCGGAAACGGAAUUUCCCUUCGGGGCAGAUUGCAAGGCGCUGCAUGGUUGUCGUCAGCUCGUGCCGUGAGGUGUCGGGUUAAGUCCCAUAACGAGCGCAACCCUUAUUGUUAGUUACCAGCGGGUAAUGCCGGGGACUCUAACAAAACUGCCGGUGUAACCGUGAGGAAGGUGG